UGGGGAAUAUUGGACAAUGGGCGCAAGCCUGAUCCAGCAAUGCCGCGUGUGUGAAGAAGGCCUUCGGGUUGUAAAGCACUUUUAUCAGGAGCGAAACGCUGUCGGCUAAUACCCGGCGGAACUGACGGUACCUGAGGAAUAAGCACCGGCUAACUUCGUGCCAGCAGCCGCGGUAAUACGAAGGGUGCAAGCGUUAAUCGGAAUUACUGGGCGUAAAGCGUGCGUAGGCGGUUUCUUAAGUCUGCUGUGAAAUCCCCGGGCUCAACCUGGGAAUGGCAGUGGAUACUGGGAGGCUAGAGUGUGUCAGAGGGUGGUGGAAUUCCCGGUGUAGCGGUGAAAUGCGUAGAGAUCGGGAGGAACAUCAGUGGCGAAGGCGGCCACCUGGGACAACACUGACGCUGAGGCACGAAAGCGUGGGGAGCAAACAGGAUUAGAUACCCUGGUAGUCCACGCCCUAAAGCGAUGCGAACUGGAUGUUGGUCUCAACUCGGAGAUCAGUGUCGAAGCUAACGCGUUAAGUUCGCCGCCUGGGGAGUACGGUCGCAAGACUGAACUCAAAGGAAUUGACGGGGUCAUAGCUGUUUCCUG
rnacentral:rRNA from 1 species